CCGUUCGUCAGUCCCUACCUCCUUCUGUUGACAUUAAAACAAGCAGCGUCUUGAAGAUAAAGAAGAUUGACUCAACUCUUCCAUGUGAUAAAGAAGUGGACAUCUCCAUUGAUUACACCGUUGUGCAUGAACCACAGGGAUCUAUAGAUAUCGUUCAUCUGGUCUUAUACAGAGGAACUAUUGGCAGUGGAGGACAAAAACAAGUUCAAAUUGAAGAUAAACCAGUGAAUGAGGGUCAGGUGUCCUUCAGCCUGAACAUUUCUCCAGACAUGGCUCCACUGAUCCAGGUUGUGGCUUACGCUGUCCUCCCCAGUGAGAAUGUGAUUGCUGCCAGUGCUGAGUUCUCCACAGAAAAAUGCUUUAGUAA